GACGAACGCUGGCGGCGUGCUUAACACAUGCAAGUCGAACGGAAAGGCCCUGCUUGCAGGGUCCUCGAGUGGCGAACGGGUGAGUAACACGUGGGUGAUCUGCCCUCCACUUCGGGAUAAGCCUGGGAAACUGGGUCUAAUACCGGAUAGGAGCCAUUUUUAGUGUGAUGGUUGGAAAGUUUUUUCGGUGUAGGAUGAGCUCGCGGCCUAUCAGCUUGUUGGUGGGGUAAUGGCCUACCAAGGCGGCGACGGGUAGCCGGCCUGAGAGGGUGGACGGCCACAUUGGGACUGAGAUACGGCCCAGACUCCUACGGGAGGCAGCAGUGGGGAAUAUUGCACAAUGGGCGCAAGCCUGAUGCAGCGACGCCGCGUGGGGGAUGACGGCCUUCGGGUUGUAAACUCCUUUCGCUAGGGACGAAGCUUUUUGUGACGGUACCUAGAUAAGAAGCACCGGCUAACUACGUG
rnacentral:rRNA from 1 species